GCUUGAUUAGCUCAGUUGGUAGUGCUGCAGACUUUUAAGCUGAGGGUCCAGGGUUCAAAUUCUCUGGUUAGACA
rnacentral:tRNA from 1 species